rnacentral:rRNA from 1 species
AUUGAACGCUGGCGGCAUGCCUUACGCAUGCAAGUCGAACGGCAGCACGGGAGCAAUCCCGGUGGCGAGUGGCGAACGGGUGAGUAAUAUAUCGGAACGUGCCCAGUAGUGGGGGAUAACUGCUCGAAAGAGCAGCUAAUACCGCAUACGACCUGAGGGUGAAAGGGGGGGAUCGCAAGACCUCUCGCUAUUGGAGCGGCCGAUAUCAGAUUAGCUAGUUGGUGGGGUAAAGGCCUACCAAGGCAACGAUCUGUAGUUGGUCUGAGAGGACGACCAGCCACACUGGGACUGAGACACGGCCCAGACUCCUACGGGAGGCAGCAGUGGGGAAUUUUGGACAAUGGGCGCAAGCCUGAUCCAGCAAUGCCGCGUGCAGGAAGAAGGCCUUCGGGUUGUAAACUGCUUUUGUCAGGGAAGAAAUCCUCUAGGUUAAUACCCUUGGGGGGAUGACGGUACCUGAAGAAUAAGCACCGGCUAACUACGUGCCAGCCGCCGCGGUAACAC